UACGGAGGGGGCGAGCGUUAUUCGGAAUUAUUGGGCGUAAAGGGCGCGUAGGCGGCCCGGUAAGUCAAAGGUGAAAUCCCUCGGCUCAACUGAGGAACUGCCUUUGAAACUGUCGGGCUUGAGGCCGGGAGGGGGUAGCGGAAUUCCCAGUGUAGCGGUGAAAUGCGUAGAUAUUGGGAGGAACACCAGUGGCGAAGGCGGCUACCUGGACCGGUUCUGACGCUGAUGCGCGAAAGCGUGGGGAGCGAACAGG
rnacentral:rRNA from 1 species